rnacentral:rRNA from 1 species
AGUGAGGUGGCGGGACGGGUGAAGUAACACGUAGGUAACCUUCGCCCCGGAGGCGGGGGAAUAACUAUUUUAGGAAACAGAUGCUAAUACCGCAAUAACAAACAAAAGCCACAUGGUCUUUUUGUUUGAAAGAUGGCUUUUGGCUAUCACUCUGGGAUGGACCUGCGGUGCAUUAGCUAGUUGGUAAGGUAACGGCUUACCAAGGCGAUGAUGCAUAGCCGAGUUGAGAGACUGAUCGGCCACAAUGGAACUGAGACACGGUCCAUACUCCUACGGGAGGCAGCAGUAGGGAAUCUUCCACAAUGGGCGCAAGCCUGAUGGAGCAACACCGCGUGAGUGAAGAAGGGUUUCGGCUCGUAAAGCUCUGUUGUUGGAGAAGAACGUGCGUGAGAGUAACUGUUCACGCAGUGACGGUAUCCAACCAGAAAGUCACGGCUAACUACGUGCC